rnacentral:rRNA from 1 species
ACAAUGAAGAGUUUGAUCCUGGCUCAGGAUGAACGCUAGCUACAGGCUUAACACAUGCAAGUCGAGGGGCAUCAGGAAGAAAGCUUGCUUUCUUUGCUGGCGACCGGCGCACGGGUGAGUAACACGUAUCCAACCUGCCCUUUACUCGGGGAUAGCCUUUCGAAAGAAAGAUUAAUACCCGAUAGCAUAAUGAUUCCGCAUGGUUUCAUUAUUAAAGGAUUCCGGUAAAGGAUGGGGAUGCGUUCCAUUAGGUUGUUGGUGAGGUAACGGCUCACCAAGUCUUCGAUGGAUAGGGGUUCUGAGAGGAAGGUCCCCCACAUUGGAACUGAGACACGGUCCAAACUCCUACGGGAGGCAGCAGUGAGGAAUAUUGGUCAAUGGGCGCUAGCCUGAACCAGCCAAGUAGCGUGAAGGAUGAAGGCUCUAUGGGUCGUAAACUUCUUUUAUAUAAGAAUAAAGUGCAGUAUGUAUACUGUUUUGUAUGUAUUAUAUGAAUAAGGAUCGGCUAACUCCGUGCCAGCAGCCGCGGUAAUACGGAGGAUCCGAGCGUUAUCCGGAUUUAUUGGGUUUAAAGGGAGCGUAGGUGGACUGGUAAGUCAGUUGUGAAAGUUUGCGGCUCAACCGUAAAAUUGCAGUUGAUACUGUCAGUCUUGAGUACAGUAGAGGUGGGCGGAAUUCGUGGUGUAGCGGUGAAAUGCUUAGAUAUCACGAAGAACUCCGAUUGCGAAGGCAGCUCACUGGACUGCAACUGACACUGAUGCUCGAAAGUGUGGGUAUCAAACAGGAUUAGAUACCCUGGUAGUCCACACAGUAAACGAUGAAUACUCGCUGUUUGCGAUAUACAGUAAGCGGCCAAGCGAAAGCAUUAAGUAUUCCACCUGGGGAGUACGCCGGCAACGGUGAAACUCAAAGGAAUUGACGGGGGCCCGCACAAGCGGAGGAACAUGUGGUUUAAUUCGAUGAUACGCGAGGAACCUUACCCGGGCUUAAAUUGCAGUGGAAUGAUGUGGAAACAUGUCAGUGAGCAAUCACCGCUGUGAAGGUGCUGCAUGGUUGUCGUCAGCUCGUGCCGUGAGGUGUCGGCUUAAGUGCCAUAACGAGCGCAACCCUUAUCUUUAGUUACUAACAGGUUAUGCUGAGGACUCUAGAGAGACUGCCGUCGUAAGAUGUGAGGAAGGUGGGGAUGACGUCAAAUCAGCACGGCCCUUACGUCCGGGGCUACACACGUGUUACAAUGGGGGGUACAGAAGGCAGCUAGCGGGUGACCGUAUGCUAAUCCCAAAAGCCUCUCUCAGUUCGGAUCGAAGUCUGCAACCCGACUUCGUGAAGCUGGAUUCGCUAGUAAUCGCGCAUCAGCCACGGCGCGGUGAAUACGUUCCCGGGCCUUGUACACACCGCCCGUCAAGCCAUGGGAGCCGGGGGUACCUGAAGUACGUAACCGCAAGGAUCGUCCUAGGGUAAAACUGGUGACUGGGGCUAAGUCGUAACAAGGUAGCCGUACCGGAAGGUGCGGCUGGAACACCUCCUUU